GGGUGGUUAGCUCAGCGGUAGAGCACUGCCUUCACACGGCAGGGGUCACUGGUUCGAUCCCAGUAUCACCCACCA
rnacentral:tRNA from 2 species